GACAGAGGUGCCGAGCGUUAGGCGGAAUCACUGGGCUUAAAGCGUGUGUAGGCGGGCCGUUAAGUACCUUGUGAAAUCCCCCCGGCUCAACCGGGGAAUGGCUGGGUAUACUGGCGGUCUUGAGCGAUCUAGGGGCAGAUGGAACAAGUGGUGGAGCGGUGAAAUGCGUAGAUAUCAUUUGGAACGCCAAUGGUGAAAACAGGUAGCUGGGGAUGUGCUGACGCUGAGACACGAAAGCCAGGGGAGCAAACGGG
rnacentral:rRNA from 1 species